AACCCAAUUUAUUUUUCUCUGAUAGUUCAGUCAGUAGUAAGCAUGAGAUAAAGUGCUACCAUUCAAACAUCAAAACACUUUGAGAAAAAUCAUCCUUUAAAACACGUGAGCUUGCUAAAUAUGAAAUACCACCACCAGCAAACUGUCAGCCAGCCCCUAAAACCAAACUUCAUCUUACAGAAUACAGGAAUGAUGGAUAUUUUAGUCCAUUUUUUAGGUGAGAUGGUUUAGAGAAAACAAAGAGGAUGUAUUUUUUGCCCCAGUGAGCAGCGGGAGCUUGCAGGUUAUGCACUGCUUCCAUCUGUAGCUGGAGAAGCCCAACAAACUGCAGAUGCACACUGGUGGCAGCAGCUAGCACAGAGCUGAAAUGCAGCGGUGAUGGAGAUAAAUGAGAUUGGACAAAACAUUACACUAAAACAAACCGACUCCUUUCUCCUUGUAACAGCUUCCCAAUCACCAACUAAGUACAAACUGCAAUUUCAUGCAAGAUCUACGUUUCAUCAGUGAACAUCUUUUUCUCAGAUUUUGAUAUUAGACCCCAGCACUGACAGUAGCAAUGGAAGAUAAAAGGUGGGUUCUAAAAUACACCUAGCCUGCUGGGGACCUGCACAGUACAAAACGACUGAAUGCCAUAAGAAUUUGGACAAUACUCCAAUUCUUUCCUUUAUCCUCAGGGCCCUUCAGAUUGCCUGCAGUAACAGCUCUACAGUCACAGCUACACCGUAAGUAUUGGACAACCUGGUAUCUGUAUUUUUCACACUCAUACUAAUGCCCUGAGCCACCAACCAUCGCCCACACACCUACACAAGCAUAAAGAUAUCACGUAGUUCAGCUCCACGGCACAACUGGAGGUCUGGCAUCACUAUGCAGGACCUUCUCUACUUCCCAUCUCCCCGGGCAGUACUGCUGGGUCUUGGCCUCCGUGGGUACCACACAGCUUUCCAGAAGCUCUCCAAGGAAGGCUGCCAGGUUCCACAACAAACUCCUCACGUACUUUCAUAUCCCAACUGCUUUCUCACCUCCUCUCUCUCGGAUGGUGCACCAGGCCACAAUCAGCUAUUCUAGAUGAAGCGCUGUUGUUUUACCUACAUGAGAUGUAAGCU
rnacentral:lncRNA from 7 species